UUAAAUUCGCACCACCACCUCAACCUCGAUACACGUCAUUAUGGGAUGUGAAUCUGGUUCUCAACCUGUUGGAAACCUGACCACGGAAUGCAGAACUCACGCUUAAAUAGCUGUCAGCAAAAUUGGACAUGCUCCUCUGUCUGAUAUCAUGCAAACGGGUUUCAGAUGUCGAAGCACUGGACAUUGACGCACGCUCCUUUACCCCUACAGAAGUUUCCUUCAACAUUUCCAGGCGUACCAAGUCAUCGAUUACUUUGGUUUCCUAUCCAUCGUUUCCUCACAAUAUUAACCUCUGCCCAGUGGCUAGUCUACAGGAAAAUGAAGCAUGGACUCAGGUAUUCAGGAAUCCAGUAUAUCACGAGUUGUUCUUGGCUAUUAAAAUGCCGCAUCACCCCGUAUCUACAGUGACUAGCGCGCUGGGUGAAAUGGAUAAUGGCUUCGGCCCACAUAGGUAUAUCCGUAUAUGGUACACACUCUACUAGAGGGACAAAGGCUUCAAAGGUUUUCAACUUGGGUUGUAAACUAGAAGAUCUUCUUCGAACGACAGAUUGGUCUCGUGAAUCUACAUUUAGGGAAUAUUACUUUUGCCCUACAGAACAUGUCUCAUCUAUGGUCAUUUUACAGCUUUGAACUA